rnacentral:rRNA from 1 species
UCGAGAAUCAUUCACAAUGGGCGAAAGCCUGAUGGUGCGACGCCGCGUGGGGGAAGAAGGUCUUCGGAUUGUAAACCCCUGUCAUGUGGGAGCAAGAUAGCAAUAUUUGAUAGUACCACAAGAGGAAGAGACGGCUAACUCUGUGCCAGCAGCCGCGGUAAAUACAGAGGUCUCAAGCGUUGUUCGGAAUCACUGGGCGUAAAGGGUACGUAGGCUGUCGUAUAAGUCGUGCGUGAAAGGCAGGGGCUCAACCCCUGGAGUGCGCAUGAUACUGUAUGACUAGAGUCAUGGAGAGGGAACUGGAAUUCUUGGUGUAGCAGUGAAAUGCGUAGAUAUCAAGAGGAAGACUC